UUAGGAUAUAUCAUGAGAAAUAUCGACCAUAAGGAAAGCCACAGUAGAGAAAAGAAAUAGGACAACAUUUCUGAUGGCAAUUAUGAAGAACAAUACAAGGGCUCUAUGCUUGGUAGUUCUUCUUAUGUCUGCCACUUUUUCAUGUCAUGCAACUGGGAGAAACAAAGGUACGACUGCAUGGAGAGCUUUGUGCGGAGACUUUAAGAUAUGCGAGAACCCAACGGUGAACAAUGUUAAUAUUUGCAGACUUAAUUGUGAAUGGUCUGGUUACAUCUUCGAUGACAGCUACUGCGACCGUGGUAAGUGUUGUUGCGCAUUGACACCGCCAAGGAAAUGAUGGGUACUACGAUGUGCCAAAAGUUUGGGCUUGUAAGAUAUGGUGAAUUUCAAUAAAGUUUACAAGUUGAUCUUGAUUUGAA